AUACGAAUAAAAUUAUUUAACAACCGAUGAUAUUUCAGCAGGUGUAGAGCGAAAAAAUGGACUAAAACAAAUAUGCAAUUAGGACGUUUGAAGCGAACUAUUUUUCAGAGUAUAACUUGUUUGAAUUAACAGUAAUCGCAAGCAAGUUAACCAAAGAAAAGAUGACUACUAAUAAAACAAAUAUAGAGUGAAGCUUAUAUUAAAACAAGUUGCUUGGACGAUGAGCUGUUAAUUUAUCGGCGAAGAGUGUGAGGACAUAAAAUACUAAAAUAAAUAUCUAAACUAUUCAAAUGAGCCGGUAACAGGGUGGUACGCCAGGUCAAGCGAUGUUACGCUACAUGUCGAGUAGAUCGAAGAAGUUUUUUUUUCAUAUUUACUUUUCUACUUUUCUACCCUUAACGAACUCUGUAAUUGGUUAUUAUCUAAUAUAAUAAUAUAAGACAUAGAGUUAUAGCGGGUAUUUUGAAUAUUUUAUUUUCAUGGUUAUUUUAAUACUCUACAGUUUAGUGCUUUUGUUCAUUCACAUACAUCUUGUGCAUAUUGAAAUAGUGUUAAAAUUUACACGACACGCCUUUAUCGGAAAAAUAGACCCUAGCAAAAAGGAUCGUUGAAAAUGCACAGAAAAAAGGGGAAAACAAAUCUUAGUCGAAAUGUAAAAAAAAACGUCUUGCGACUGUUUUCGUUUUUACUUUAAACUUUAUUCUAUAUACACUAUACAGAAUACACCAACAAACAUUAAUAAAAAUGCAUAGAAACCUGACGUUAUUAAAAUACAAAAAUAGAGGGGGUUUAUAUUUCAAUACUACCCUUCAUAAAAUUAAUAACCAUUUUAUAUAUUGGAUAAUAAAAUUUGGCCGUGGGGAUGCAAUUAAGAUAUAUUAAUAUUUCUCAAUUAAGCUCCAUGAAGUAUGUAUUAUUAG